ensembl:rRNA 5S_rRNA 5S ribosomal RNA
AAGCUGUGUGACUUUAUUCUGAAUGUGCCUGAUUUUGUCUAAUCUCUGAAACUAAGCAAGGUCAGGCCUGGUUAGUACUUGGAUGAAAGACCAGCUGGGAAUACAAGUUGUGUAACUUU